rnacentral:rRNA from 1 species
GACGAACGCUGGCGGCGUGCUUAACACAUGCCAGUCGAACGGAAAGGCCCUGCUUUUGUGGGGUGCUCGAGUGGCGAACGGGUGAGUAACACGUGAGUAACCUGCCCUUGACUUUGGGAUAACUUCAGGAAACUGGGGCUAAUACCGGAUAGGAGCUCCUGCUGCAUGGUGGGGGUUGGAAAGUUUCGGCGGAUGGGGAUGGACUCGCGGCUUAUCAGCUUGUUGGUGGGGUAGUGGCUUACCAAGGCUUUGACGGGUAGCCGGCCUGAGAGGGUGACCGGCCACAUUGGGACUGAGAUACGGCCCAGACUCCUACGGGAGGCAGCAGUGGGGAAUAUUGCACAAUGGGCGGAAGCCUGAUGCAGCAACGCCGCGUGCGGGAUGACGGCCUUCGGGUUGUAAACCGCUUUCGCCUGUGACGAAGCGUGAGUGACGGUAAUGGGUAAAGAAGCACCGGCUAACUACGUG